AAGGAUUUAAGUUAAGUAUAAACUUUUAACCUUCAAAGUUGAAAAUAGAAUAUUUCUAAGCCUUA
rnacentral:tRNA from 1 species